UAUUUCUUGGUGUAAAGAGGCACGAAAAUUUUUGAUAUUUUAAGAGCAGUUUAAUUCUGCAAGAAGUAA
rnacentral:tRNA from 1 species